UACGAAGGGGGCAAGCGUUGUUCGGAAUUACUGGGCGUAAAGGGCGCGUAGGCGGCUUAUCAAGUCAGGCGUGAAAUUCCCGGGCUCAACCUGGGGGCUGCGCUUGAUACUGAUGAGCUUGAAUGCGGGAGAGGAUAGUGGAAUUCCCAGUGUAGAGGUGAAAUUCGUAGAUAUUGGGAAGAACACCGGUGGCGAAGGCGGCGACCUGGUCCGAUACUGACGCUGAGGCGCGAAAGCGUGGGGAGCAAACAGG
rnacentral:rRNA from 1 species